UAGCUCCCAUACCCACAGAGAAGCCAAUCAAGAAGCCAGCAACCAUACCUACAGAGACGCAAUUGCAAAGCCAGCAACCAUACCUACAGAGACGCCAAUUGCAAAGCCAGGUAUAG